CCUGUGGUGCUCUGUGGUGCAUUUUGGGGGAAUGAGUCUUCCGCUGAAGGUACUCCUUUGUUUGACCAGCACUUCAUGGAGUGGGUGGGGGACACUGUCCAAGAUGGCAUGUAGUUUUCCAUUAGCUGUGGAUGUAAAAUAAGCUCCUUAUCUUUGUUCUUUUUGCCAAGCAAUGUGAGAUCUACAGUUGGGUCAGGGAGUAUCCAAGGAUGUAUUACAAGGAGUAGUACUGUUGGAUUAAUGUUUGUUUCAGUUAUUCCUAGUUCUUUUGCUUUCUGCUCAAUUAUCCAUCCAAAACUUUGUGUUUCUCUCCUCUCCUUUUCCUUAGUGUAUCUUGCAUUGGAUGAUCUUCAUUGUGUCCUUUUUUUUUAAAUUAACUCAGUAGUUUAAAGAUAGCUGUAUUCUCCUUAAUUCCAGUGGCAUUUCUCCAAUUUCCACUUUUAAUGCUGAUGUUGGGGUUAUUCUAAUGACACCUGAACAUUGUUGCCUGAUGUUGAAUGUUGUCUAACUUUCUGAGGGAUGUACUGCAGAUCCAAACACUAAACACCCAUAAUCUAAUACUGAUCUUAUUAAUCCUAUGUAGAUGGUUUUCAAUGCUGAUCUCUCUGCACCCCAUUCACUUCCCACCAGACAUCUCAUUACAUUUAAUACUUUUUUACACUUAUCAAUUACCUUCUGAAUAUGUUCUGCCCAUGUGAUUCUUUCAUCAAACCACAACCCUAGAAAUUUCAAUUGUUUCACUCUCUCCAAUUCUUGAUUAUAUAAUUUUAAUUUUUAAUUAUUGUCAUUUCUUUUUCGUGUAAAGAACAUUGUCUUUAUUUUGUCUACUGAGAUUUUAAGUCCCCACUUAAAUGACCAUUCUUCUAUUUUAACAAUAGCCUCCUGUAUUUUCUUCACACCAAAUUCCAAAUUCCUACCUCUUUUCCCUUUUGCCCCAUCAUCCGCAAAAACAGAGAAUCCCAUCUCAUUCUCCAAAUUCAGAAAAACAUAAUUUAUCAUAAUAGAAGAUAACACAGGAUUGUUACUUGAAUCAAUCUUCCAUAUAAAAAGUCUUUGAUACACCUAUACAUUAGGCCUUUAACCCCUAAUUAACUUAGUUUAAUUAAGAAUCCUUCCUUCCACAUCAUAUCAUAGGCCUUCUCUAUAUCAAAAAAGAUGGCCACCAUGCUUUCCCUAUUAAACUGUGCUUUCGUGUUCUAAACAUAAAGCAGGGUCCAUGGUAUUUCUACCUCUUCUGAAUCCACUUUAAUAUUUUGAUACAUAGCCUUUGCUUUCCAUAUAAUACAUCAACCUUACAUUAAUCAUUAUUUUGCAUACAUUAGAGGUUAAGGCAAUAGGCCUAUAAUUCCCUGGGUUUGUGCAAUCUUUUCCUGGCUUGCGUAUCGGAACUACAACAACUUCUUUCCAGACUCGUGGCAAUUUUCCCUUCUCCCAAACCUUAUUAUAUAGUUCCAGUAGAAUGUCCUUAGAUGAUUCACUAACAUGAUUUAUCAUAGUGUAACAUAUCUGAUCUUUCCCUGGUGUUGACAUCUUGGUUUUCCUGAGAGCAUGAUUCAGUUCUGCCUUUGUGAAUGGUAUAUUUGUUAAAUCAUUGGUAUCUUCAUUUUGCUGUAAUAGUUCCUUAUUCUCAGCUGUUGUAGUUUCCCUUUCUCUUUGCCCCUCUUCACUAUUAUUAUUAGAACUGUGAAUUUUAACAAAAGUUUGUGCCAACAUCUCUGCUUUCUCCUUGUCUGUCACAGCUGUAGUUCCAUUGACCACUAAGACUGGACAUCCAUACUCUCUUUUAACUCCAUUCAUUCUUUUUAUCAUUCCCCAAAUUUAAGCAAUUUCUGUUUCUCUUCCUACUGAGUUACAAAACUUCCUCAAAAACUCCUUUGCAUUUUUAAUUGUUUUCCUUACCUUAGCUUUCAACCUUUUACAUUCAAUAAGAUUCUGAAAAUUGUGAGUUCUUUUUAAAAUUCUAAAAGCUUUAUUUCGAGAUUUUAUUACAUUUUCACAUUCCUUUGUCCACCAUGGUACGAUUUUCCUUUUAUGCUUACCUCCUUUCCUUUAAAUUGUUGCUUUACUGCCCCUAGAAUGGCUUCACAAACAAAUAUUUAGUUCAUCAACAUCUUGAUUAACAUCAACUUUUUGCAUUUCUUUAUCACUAAUCUUCUUAAAAUGUUCCCAAUCAGCACUGCUGAAAACCCAUCGAUCUACUCCUCCAAUACCAUAUUCUUCUGCACUCAGCCCUACUUCCCUUAAUAUAGGAUAGUGGUCACUUCCUACUGUUGUUUCUCUUACAAUUUCCCAUGUGCAAAUACCCACCACUGUUUCUGACACUAAAGUAAGAUCUAUGGCUGAUUCUGUACCCUUUCUAACAUCAGUUCUGGUACCAUUUCCAUCACUGAGGCAUAUUAGAUUCCUGAUUUCCAUUAGCUCUUCAAUCACCUCUCCAUUUCUAUCAUUAUAGCUACCCCAUAAUGUACUGUGAGCAUUAAAAUCUCCACAAUAAAUAACUUUUCCUUCUAGAUUUACAGCUAAUUCCUCCAGUACUUCUAAUGAAAGCUGUUUGCAAGGAUUGUAAAAAUGUACUAUUUUAAUAGUCAUCUUUUGUCCAAACUUCCAUUACUAUCAUUUGCCAAUCUUUUCUUUUCUUCAAUACUCUAUAUUGCAUUUCUUGUUUCACAAAUACUAUACAGCCUCCUCCAUUUCCCUCCCUCCCUGUCUCUGCAUAUACUAUCAUAUCCUUUAAUUACAAAAUCUAAUGCUGGCUUAAGCCAUGUUUCUUGAAUACAUAUUAUUUCCGGUUUCUUUCUGAGAAAUUCCUGACAAUUUGCUCUUAAACUCCUUGCUGGCGAAUAAUCAUUAGGUUCUUUCUCCCAACACCCCCGAUUUCCCUUCUGCCUCAAGUUUUUUUUAUUGAUUUGUUCCCACGAUAGAUCUUUCAUAGCCAAGAAUUUUUCAGCUCCCUUCACAAUUAUUUUUGAAGGGAUUUCUCUGUUUUGUGUUUCAUUUGAUCUGCACAGUUGAUUACGUAAGCAGUGAACAAAACCAGCUUAUCUACUGUCAGUUCUGUAGUUUGCCCUCCUCAUCGUCAUGAAUUUUGACUGGUUUUGUCUGUUUUUUCCAUUCCCUUUUGUCUUUGCACAAAAUGCUGCACUGCGCUGGCCACCACAAUUACAACAUUUAGCCUGUACAUUAUCUAUGUCAUAGUGAGUCACUAUGUCCCCUGAUCCUUGUGUACUCUAGUGUUUUUUCCCUUCCUUGUCUUUCCUGGCUGUCCCCUGUCCGUUGUUGUGUAUGCAUAUGUGUGAGUGUCAGUGUUCUGGUCUGGCUUCCCGAUCUCCUGUCUGCUGCUGAUCGCCGGCGCACCUGACUUCAAUCAUCAUCAAUCUACACCGCUUAUCUACCGGGCUCUUCCGCACUACCGACGCCAGAUCGUCCUCCGUACAUGUGUACGCGCACCUCGUAAUGGCAUGAACGUCAAGUAAGAGAAGUGUAAACUGUUCUUUGUUUCUGCCUUGAUAGUAACUCCGGUUAUCUCUGUCACAGACUCACGCUCUGCCGGCGAUCACAGCCUCAGUCAGCACUUGGAUCUUCUGGACAUCUGUACCACGCCAACCUCGCCUCCGGAGCCAGCCGCCUUCCCGAACUAAACGCCAGGCUUCAAGGGUUCACCGCCUGGCCAGCCCAGCCCUUCUCCCUACGCUCGCCAUCCCAGAACCAGCUCACCUCGUCUCCGUCCGGAGCGCUGCCAGUCUCAUCCCCGACCCGGUCCGGUCGAGUCCUCGGGGCGGCCACGAACCACGCCGAAUACUUCGUACACCAAUAACUAUCUGCACAAUAAAGAUCAUUCCAACUAUACCCAGCUCUGUUCCGUGUGUUUCUGCAUUUGGGUUCAGAAAACACUCGUAUGACAGAACGAUCUGGCCAACAUGGACCCAGCAGAAACCAGAUCCGACGAGUUGAAAGAACUGGUGUUGGACCUUUCUAGUUGGCUGGAGAGUUGGGGAACAGCCAACAGCAAGCAGUCCAGGUUGACAGUCAAAGCUGCCGCGCGUUUUGCUGUCUCCUGCACGCCCUGGCCUUCCUGAGUGGGCCAAGAUCUUUGUGUCUGCUCCCGGUUCCUGGCUUGACUCCCGACCCACCAGUCGUCAGCCUGCACCCCGGUUUGCUGGUCUCCAGUCAGCACCUCAGCCUGCUAGCCAGGAGGUACCUCAGCAUGUUGCUGUCUUGGCGCCUCCUCUCCGCUGCCCUGCUGGAUCGCAGCAGCCCCCUGUUUUGCUGUCCAGACGCCGGCUCCCCGUCCUGAAGUCCCGUCGCCGAAUCCAUGUCAUGCUGUUCCAAAGCCGGUUCUCAGUCCUGACGUCUCAUUACCGGCCCCCUCCCCUGCUGUACCGUCGCCGGUCCCUGAGCUGGUUGACAGGCCUCCAGGGGGUUCCCGCCUCAGGCCUCCUGAGGGGUUUCGUCUUCGCCUCCGGCCUCCAGAAGGUCUCACUGUGACUCUCCGUCUUCGCCUCCGGUGGCCUUCCUCCUAUGCCACCGGCAUUACACCAGGCCUAAGGAGGGUGUCAAUCUUCGUCACAGACCUCAGGCGGUCAGCUCAGCACAUGUCUAUUACCCGGGCCGUCCGCCCGAGGUCCUCAGCUCGGCGCAUGUCUGCCCGAGGUCUACCACUUGGUCCUGGUAUGUUUGCUUCCCUUUGCGAACAUCGCUAUAUACCCAUUCCUCUGGCACUUGUAACGCUGGAGGAGGAACAUAAGCCCUGACUGGGAAACUCAUACAGCCUAUCUUUAUUUUAUCUGGAAGUACCAAGUCCUGGAACUCGAGAAGCACUGACAAACUUUCUACUCUCUCACCAUUGAUUGUCUUUAACAAUCUCUUUAGUCUCCUCACCUCCAUGAAUACUUCGUUUGAGUUUCUCUAUAUCUUCAUCAAUGGGAAUGCCUGUUAUCACUCCCUGGGUAACAUUAAUCUCACCCAGAACUCUCCUUUUACACUGUUCUUUUGCCAAUACUUUCAACAUGCAAAGCUUUAUUUCUCUGUUCUUCAUCUCUACAUUUUAUCAACAGAUUCCCAUCUCAAAGAAUCUUGGCCAUUUCUACUUCUAACUUUUUCAGCUCCCUAGAUAAUGCUAUUGGGCUUAUUCACCUGCUCAUCUUCCCUCCUGAAUUAAAGUAUUUUAAAUUCCUCUCUGCACCUUCCUGCGAACAACCCGGUUACCUUCAUCUGAACUAUUCUCGUCUAAGCUUCUUUUACUGCUCUGGCUGGCAGACGCCCUUACCACCUCAUCUUGUCUCAUAUUUCCUUUACCUCUUCCUCCACAUUGUCUUCAUCAUUUUCUACCUGUGUUGCAAUCCCGAUCCAGUCACAAACCAGUUUAUGCCAACCGUAAGUCAAAAAACUAAUCGAAGAUCCAAUUCCGCCUAUCCACUCUCUUCCACUCCAAAUCUGCAGUCAAAUCACGGGCCUUUCUGGCAGUUGGUAAACAACUGUAUGCAUUUUACCGCCACCUACUGUAUGACUCCUUAACCCUUUAAUAACUUGGCUAACAUAACUGCAUACAUGACAUCUUAAUAGAAAGUCAUUAAGAGUCAUGUUUUCUCACUUUAACCUGGCAACCCAAAAUUUAUUUUAAUAAAUGGCAUAUUAUCUAUAUGAUUGACUAUUUAUAAAGCUGUUAGUUACACCUUAUACACCCGUUAUAAUAUAUGCUUUACUAGUAAGUGGCUGUCUGCCUAAUCCAAACUCCACUUUAGUGAAUGCAGAGUCACUGAUUUAAGUGCAUGAAAAAGCUGCUCAAUUAAACUAACGAGAGUGCUUGUAAUAAGUUGUUUUCCACCCAUUGAGAAGUUUUGUUUUUAAUGAAGGAUGUUUUAUAAGAAUAGGUGAUAAAUCCAGCCAACUAAAAGAAGCUCCUGUCUUCCCUUUUUGUGUGUGGUGUGUAUGUAUGCACUUCACGUAGUCGACAAAGGUGCUUAGCUCUGUUAUCAUUUAUCUACCUUCUUGGUGUUUCUUCAGACAUUGCAUAGUGGUGUUUGAGUAUGUAUCACGUUGAGUAAGAAUAUCAGAAUGUGUUUCACAAAGUCUGCCUCGGCCCUCUCACUUCCCCAGCCCCAUGCAUUGCCAUUCUCCAUCAAUCCACCAGAUGCCCUCAGACUUUCCCACCUGCCCCAGCCCCCUGUUAUUUCAGAUCCAGCCACUCCCUCCUGCCCAGCAGUAGCCUCUUUCCCAGCACCUGACCUUCACCGCACACACUCACCUGCUUCCCAUUUCCCUAAUCAACCUGGCAGUAUAUUUACCACAUUUCCACCCACACUUUGCCAGAUUGGCAAUGAUGUCCAGUCAUCUGAACCUGAACCCGAUCCUGAGGCUACCUGGUUUUCCUUGUUACCUAUUCCUGGAUUUUGACCUGCUCACCAGCUUCACGGCUCUAGAUUUGUUUGACUGUUCAGAAUGACUUCCUGUUAACCUAGGUCUGUGAAGUAACACCAGAAACAGGUACAUGUGGGGUGUAUUUGUAAACAUUACUUCUGCAACUCUUCAAGGAGCUGCAAGGUCUUGCUGUACCUGAACAACUUUGAAGAUGAGACAGAAUACAGAGAUGUCACACUGAAGUAUGAAAUGAGGUGCCCAGAAAUGAUGCACGUGACCAUCUAUUUUGUUUAUAUUCAGAUAAACAAAGUACAGAGCAGCUUACAGUUGUAUAGGGAUAUUAAACACAACAUAAGUACUUCUGCUUCUGAGGUGGGUCAUUAU